rnacentral:lncRNA from 1 species
GGGGGAACCAGCGGCUCCCUCUCCCCUUCAGCUCCCUGCUCCGGCGUUUCUGAGCCCUGCACCUGAGGGAUUCUGUGUGCAGGAACGCCGGGCACCAGGUGAAACAGCGAGGAGGAAGGCAGAGGGUGGCACAGGGCAGCCGAGCAUCCUCCUGCCCUCCAAGAACGAGCAGAGCACGGAACAGCUCCAGGAUUUCAGCAUCCAGCACCAAGGGCUGGAAGGAUUCUAUUGCUGUCCCACUGCAGCAGGUGGAUAAAGAUGUAUCUCUGGAGCAG